GCUAUCCUACUCAGUUGGUUAUAGAGUGUGGUGCUGAUAACGCCAAGGUUGCAGGUUCAGUCCCCAUACGGGACAGCU